rnacentral:rRNA from 1 species
UGGGGAAUUUUCCGCAAUGGGCGAAAGCCUGACGGAGCAAUACCGCGUGAGGGAGGAAGGUCCUUGGAUUGUAAACCUCUUUUAUCAGGGAAGAAAAAAAUGACGGUACCUGAUGAAUAAGCAUCGGCUAACUCCGUGCCAGCAGCCGCGGUAAUACGGAGGAUGCGAGCGUUAUCCGGAAUUAUUGGGCGUAAAGCGUCCGUAGGUGGUUUUGCAAGUCUGCCGUCAAAGAAUGGAGCUCAACUCCAUACCGGCGGUGGAAACUGUGAGACUAGAGUACGGUAGGGGUAGCAGGAAUUCCCAGUGUAGCGGUGAAAUGCGUAGAUAUUGGGAAGAACAUCGGUGGCGAAAGCGUGCUACUGGGCUGAAACUGACACUGAGGGACGAAAGCUAGGGUAGCGAAAG